UUCUUUCCUUUGAUUAACUAGCAGAAGACUACACAGUAUGAACAGAAAUGAAGCUGCAAAGAAGACUCCGAGACCAGACCAGCUUGCCUAGACAAGGGAGAAUCCAGAUGCGCUGCCUGGAAGAGGCUUAGGCUGGACAGAAGCACCUGGAAAGGACACUCUUCAACCCGUUGAGCCGCAGUGAGGCUCUGAGAAGGGACGUAGGGUGGUCUGAGCAAUUUAAAGCAUGCAGCUUUAUAGAUGAUGUCACACUAUGAGCAGUGGCCAAAUCUCUGCAAGGGUCACUGCUUCAUGAGAAUACUUUUCCUUGGGAGAUGUGACACACGCUCCAGCGAGGGAGCUCAAGACGGAAGAAAGCAUAGCUACCACAGAAGCCCAACUGGGUGGACCAAUGCGCUUAUUGGGGUUACUUAUCGGAGCACAAAAGACUCAAAGACAGCUGUAUUAGCAAUAUCCAAAAACAGGGCUGGGAACCCGGAGCACCAUCUGUCGGUCUCCUCACCAGAACCGUUUCUUUAAUGCCAGCCAACCACGUCAGCUCUGGAUCAGUUGCGGCGCCGACUUGGUACUCAGUCCCCCAUCUCUGGUUAGAAAUGGGAGAGCAGCCAUUGGAUGCUUCCCGAGACUCUGCACGUAAGCGGCCAUGAGUGAGCCCACGUGAAUAGCCUAGGAACAGCUUCGCUCUCCUGUUCUGAGCCCCAUGCGGAUGCAGAGCACAGGUGGCCAGCGUAUUUUCACAUGCUGCUCUGCCCUGGACCUUGGAUCACACCCUCGCUACCCUUCCAUCAUAAUAUGGCUUCCUCUUCGUGCUCGGUCGUUUCCAGUUGAUUCUAGAAGGUUUCCUGGGUUUUUCUGCAGGUGUUCGUGCAGCUGAUGGAGUAGACAGUUAUUCUUCCCCCUUAAUUUGUUUAGCUCUUCGUGCAGUAGAUUUCAUACUAUGUGUAUAUAUUUUAAAAGGUUUAUUUGUUUUGGCAGGUUUAUACUCUACCAUCGUACUAUGUCAUGAGCACAUCACAAUAUAAAGUGGUCCCUGCAAUUAGGUUAGCAGUGGCUAUGACUUCAAAAUACUUGGCUGCUUUAGAGGUUUUGACAGCGUGAACAAAGUGCUCCCUUUGAGCGCUGUCACCUAGGGAUGGAUGUGUUUGUGGCAUUCACGGGGCAGAAGUGAGGUAAGACAACCACAUCUCCCUAUUAUGGUGCCAGAUAGAGUCUGCCCCUCCUUGAAUUUAAAGACUAGUACAGUUGGAAAACGCCACACCCGCCUGUUGUUUGUUGAGCGCUAAUGACUGAACAUGCCUUUGAUCUUGUGUCUCUUCUACACCUGAACUUGGGUUUGUAUUGCAAGUAUGUACACACUGGUAUGUCUCAGUCAGUGUUCUGUGUACUGAAGAGACACCAUGAUCACGACAAUGAUUACCAAAGAAAGCAUUUACUGGAGG
rnacentral:lncRNA from 1 species